rnacentral:tmRNA from 1 species
GGGGAUGUUUUGGGAUUCGACAGGCGUAGAUUCGCACUAAUUGCGGUUCGUAGGUCACGUCUACGUUAAAACGUCACAGUUUUAUAACUGCAAAUAAAGAAAAUUCUUACGCAUUAGCUGCUUAGUAAGUUAGCGUUGCCUUGAGUUGGAUUGCUUGUGUUUGGUUUAAGGUAUCAACUUUAGCAAGUUACGUUUAACUAUCUCACCUAAAUAGUUGAAAAGAGCCUGAUUAGGUUAGCUCAAUUGCGCUAGCCCUGUUAUAUGGCGUAGUGAUUGAGUGAACUUUUCAAGUAAUAUAACUAUGAUCGUAGAGGUUAGUGGCGGAAUGCGGUUGGACAGGGGUUCAAUUCCCCUCAUCUCCAUUU